GAAGGAGCCUCCCCUAGAGCCUUCGGAGGGAGCAUGCAUUGCUGACACCUUGAUUCCAGACUUCUGACCUCCGGAAGCAUGGGAGAGCAGAUUUCCCUUGUUUGAAGGCACCCAGUUUGUGGUCCUUCAUCAUGGCAGCCCUCAGGAAUGGAUACAGGCCCUUCCCUGCCUGCCUGGUGGAGCAGCCUUCACGGGGAGCCUUUGCUAGCAGGAAGAGGCCCCACAUGGAGCUCAGACCCGCCUUAGAGGAACUUCUCUCAGCCUCCUCUCUCCGCACACCCCACCGAGAUACAAGCAAGGAAAUGUGUGGCAUCUGGCUACCAUGAGCUGAAGACAAAGCCUACAUGGGGAAAAGUGCAACACCAGGAGAAUGGGAGAGAAAUGGAGCCACGCACUGAUGCUAUUAUGAAACAUCUCAAUCAAACUGCACCUCAAGACCGCCCUAUCACCGCAUUUGUCAUUUACAUGAGCCAA
rnacentral:antisense_RNA from 1 species